UCGUUCGGAAAGAAAACAGCCAAGCCGGCCGCCAGUUAGACGACUCGGGCCAGUUUCUGUCCGGAUUCGGAUUUCGAGCAGAAUUUGGAUUAUCGGUUCCGAAACGUUUCGUUCGAACCGUCGAAACCCGCCGGGCCUCGACUCGUCGAGCCGAAUCGGACCGCGUCUUUAACUUUGACCUAUUCCGAUCGAAUGGUCGGCGCGUGUCGAAGGUCCGGAUCGGCGUGGAAGCGUUUAUGGCGAAAGUGUGCGAAGGCUGCGUGGAACGGAGACGGUUCAUCUUAUUCCUGGUAUCGUCGCGAGGCCAAAGAUAACAACUGAAAAUGACGCGCGCAACAUUGGACACGCAUAUUCAAAGCUCGAAACGGCAGAGCUGUUUGUUUAUUUUCAACGCAAGGAUAGUUUUGGUUGACGCAAUGUCGAGAGUAACGCUGUUUCGUUGGACACGGGGGCCUAGAUCGAAUUAGUAAUUGAGGAGAAUUGAAGAGAUAUAUACAUGAACGGUUCAGGAGCCAAUCAGUGUCGAUGGACGUGCACUGGAUGGUUUAUGGAUAUUCGAUGGAAAAUAAACGUAAAAAUUCGUUCAAUAA